AGUGAACGCUGGCGGCAGGCCUAAUACAUGCAAGUCGAACGGCGGCACAGCAGAGCUUGCUCUGUGGUGGCGAGUGGCGGACGGGUGAGGAAUACGUGGGAAUCUGCCCAGUCGUGGGGGAUAACGUAGGGAAACUUACGCUAAUACCGCAUGCGCCCUUCGGGGAAAGCCGGGGACCUUCGGGCCUGGCGCGAUUGGAUGAGCCCACGUCGGAUUAGCUAGUUGGCGGGGUAAAGGCCCACCAAGGCGACGAUCCGUAGCUGGUCUGAGAGGAUGAUCAGCCACACUGGAACUGAGACACGGUCCAGACUCCUACGGGAGGCAGCAGUAGGGAAUAUUGGACAAUGGGCGCAAGCCUGAUCCAGCCAUGCCGCGUGAGUGAAGAAGGCCCUCGGGUUGUAAAGCUCUUUUGUCCGAAGAAAGAA
rnacentral:rRNA from 1 species